rnacentral:rRNA from 1 species
GAAGAUUUGACGAAAGUUUCCCUGUCUCGAUUUAUUUGCAAAAAAAUUAACCGAAAGGUUAAAAGGCCUUUAUAGUUUAAGGGGACGAUAAGACCCUAUAAAACUUUAUUUAUAACCUUUAUUUAUUUUAUAGAAACAAAAUACGAAUUAUAAAUUUUGCUGGGGCGGCAAAAAACUUAACAUUCUUUAACCAAACGUAAUGAACGAAAUUUAACCAACAUUAUUUUAGACUCAAAAACAAGUUACUUUAGGGAUAACAGCAUAAUUUCUUUUUAGAGCCCCUAUCGACAAAGAAGAUUAUGACCUCGAUGUUGAAUUGAGUACCUCCUUCUAAGCAGCCUUAAAAGGUAGAA